AGAAUAUAAUAUCUCGAUUUUUAAUUUUUAACUGAAAAUGUUAAGAGUCGGUUCUUAAAUAAGAGAUUUAAUAACCGAUUCUUAACUUUUUCAGUUAAAAGUUAAGAGUCGGGUUAUUAUAUUCU
rnacentral:pre_miRNA from 1 species